UAUAACAAAGUACACUGUGGUUUGUGCAUGGAUUAAACAAUUCGACAUUUUGGACGUAAUCUGGAAUUACAUUGCUGCUUUAGGUGGUGUUUUGAUGCUCAGAAGAUCACGGACUACUCAUUCUCUGCAUGGCUCACAGAGAGGCUUAUUUGAAUUCUGGGCUGUUUCUAUAACAUGCAUGUAUUUCAUUUGCCAUGGCAAACAAGGGCUCUAAAACCAGAAGUAUGUGCAACCAUUGGCUGGACAUGAUGAAUUUUACAAGGAAUACGUCUGAAGAAACUCUAUCUCUGAAGUAUCUGUUGAAGCAAACAGCCUCAUGUGUCUCCUAUUAUCCAAUGGAAGAACUGGAGGAACAGAGAUGUGAAGCUGUCCGCUCAGAGUUAUAUAGGAGGCCAGUGACAAAUCCAGGAAUCCAAGCCAAAGCUCCUAAGUUGCAUUCUAAUUCUCUAAUCAGCACAGAAUUUGCCUUCUGGCAUUGUGAUGAGAUGAUGCGUGCAGGCUCUGACUGAGAAAAUGGGGCUUCCCAGCAAGAAUACAGUGGUUGGAGGUUCAACAGUGUUGGGAGUCUGGAAAAAGAUGAACCCCCAGGCACAGCAGCAGUGGUUGUGUGAGAUGAGAAACAAACAUUCUCCUCGCAUCACUCAUGCCAGCAGUCUGAGCAGGAGGAAGGUACAGGAACACUCCUACAGAGAACCAGGACUGGUUUGUCUCUUUAGAAGGGAGCAAUGGUAUUUUGAACAUUUUUACCAAAUCCCAGAGUGUGCAACAGCAUUUUAUGGACUGGGAAUUAUAUAACCGAAAAACUGUGAGAUGGGAAAGAAUUAUAGGAAGCCAUGGAGAGCUGCAACCUAAGCAUCCUGAAAUCGGUGACCAAGCCCCAAGGAUGCCUCUUGUUACUGCAGCCACUUUCAAUGACUGCUGUUUUUUGUAUGAUUUACCAGCCCCAGUGAGCUCUCCAAGACAGAAUAGGGAAAGAUGGGCUUCAAGUUGAGCCAGGGAAGAUUUAGGUUGGAUAUCAGGAAACAUUUCUUUACAGAAAGGGUUGUUAAGCAAUGGAAUAGGCUUCCUGGGGAGGUGGUUGAGUCACCAUCCCUGGAUGUGUUUAAAAACCAUUUGGAUGCGGUGCUCAGGGACGUGAUGUAGUGGAGAGUUGUUAGAGUUAGGGUAGUAUGGUUACGUCAUGGUUGGACUCGAUGGUUUUGAACAUCUUUUUCAACCGGAGCAAUUCUAUGAUUCUAUGAUUCAGUGAUUUUGGUCCAGAAGAAGAUUCUGCAGUAGUGAACUGUUUGGCUUGUGGAAUGAGUUACAGAAUUCCUAUUUAAAAAACAAAGAAGAUGGUGUAAAUCUGCACCUGGGAGGCAGCGGAUGCUUUGAAAAAGGCAAUUCAAAAAAUAAUGGACUGGUAUCGAAACUCUGUGAUCGGCAGUUUAAGGUUUUCUAAGUCUUUAUGCUGAGACACGAAACAUGUAAUUAGAAUAAUAACUGUAAGCAGAGGGCGAUGCAACCAUUAUCUAGAUCAUGUGUUAAUACUGAAGAAAUUUAAAAAUUUACCCUCCUCCCCACGAAUUUUUAAGACCUAAUUUGACUGUUUGUUCUUUUCUUUUCUUUUUUUU